AACGUAGGAGCCAAACGUUAUCCGGAGUUACUGGGCGUAAAGGGCGUGUAGGUGGUUGCGUAAGUCUGGCGUGAAAUUUUUCGGCUUAACCGGGAAAGGUCGUCGGAUACUGCGUAGCUAGAGGACGGUAGAGGCGUGUGGAAUUCCGGGUGUAGUGGUGAAAUGCGUAGAGAUCCGGAGGAACACCAGUGGCGAAGGCGACACGCUGGGCCGUACCUGACACUGAUGCGCGACAGCAUGGGGAGCAAACAGG
rnacentral:rRNA from 1 species